AUACUUACAUGGCAGGGGAGUUACCGUGAUCACAAAAGUGGUUUUCUUAGGGUGAGGCUCAUCCUUUGCACUCUGAAUGUGUUGACCUCUGUAAUUUCCCCAAACGUAGGAAACUUGACCGCAUGAUUUGUGGCAGCAGGACACUGCAAUCGGACUUCCCCCUG
ensembl:snRNA U1 U1 spliceosomal RNA